rnacentral:misc_RNA from 1 species
GUGAGUCAUCGAAUCUUUGAACGCACAUUGCGCCCCUCGGUAUUCCGUGGGGCAUGCCUGUUCGAGCGUCAUUUUACCCCUCAAGCCCAGCUUGGUGUUGGGCGUCUGUCCCGCUCUCGCAGCGCGGACUCGCCCCGAAGACAUUGGCGGUGGCCCUGUCGGCUCCUCGCGCAGUACAUCUUGCGCGUCUCGGAGGCCCGGCGGACCCCGCCAGCAAGCUUACCCCACGAAUUGACCUCGGAUCAGGUAGGGAUACCCGCUGAACUUAAGCAUAUCAAUAAGCGGAGGA